UACGUAGGGUGCGAGCGUUAAUCGGAAUUACUGGGCGUAAAGUGUGCGCAGGCGGCCGCGCAAGUCGAGUGUGAAAGCCCGAGCUUAACUUGGGAACUGCGCUCGAAACUACGUGGCUGGAGUGUGGCAGAGGGAGGUGGAAUUCCACGUGUAGCGGUGAAAUGCGUAGAGAUGAUGGAGGAACACCGAUGGCGAAGGCAGCCUCCUGGGCCAACACUGACGCUCAUGCACGAAAGCUAGGGGAGCAAACAGG
rnacentral:rRNA from 1 species